rnacentral:rRNA from 1 species
UGGGGAAUAUUGCACAAUGGGCGCAAGCCUGAUGCAGCCAUGCCGCGUGUGUGAAGAAGGCCUUCGGGUUGUAAAGCACUUUCAGCGAGGAGGAAGGUGGUGAGCUUAAUACGCUCAUCAAUUGACGUUACUCGCAGAAGAAGCACCGGCUAACUCCGUGCCAGCAGCCGCGGUAAUACGGAGGGUGCAAGCGUUAAUCGGAAUUACUGGGCGUAAAGCGCACGCAGGCGGUUUGUUAAGUCAGAUGUGAAAUCCCCGGGCUCAACCUGGGAACUGCAUUUGAAACUGGCAAGCUAGAGUCUCGUAGAGGGGGGUAGAAUUCCAGGUGUAGCGGUGAAAUGCGUAGAGAUCUGGAGGAAUACCGGUGGCGAAGGCGGCCCCCUGGACGAAGACUGACGCUCAGGUGCGAAAGCGUGGGGCAGCAAACAGGAUUAGAUACCCU